rnacentral:lncRNA from 1 species
GGGGCGUUUCAGUUUCCCAACAGAUCCUACAACUGACAGGCGGAGCAUCUUUGGAGAUGUUUGCCUCUUACAAAGAACUCGUUCAGCGUGCCUUGAUAGGCCCCCGUGACCUCUUGGCAAAACAACAGGUUCAUUCUGCACUCCACUGCUGACCUCAUUGUCCCUUUGUGAAGUGAAAAUCCAGCGUUGCAUUCUGCUCAAUGGCAGAGCGGCAGACAGCUGGGAACACGGAGCACCUCGUCCCCUCGCAGAGCCCGUCGAUGAGCGCCGAGGAGGCCCCAGGCACGGGGACGACAGGACGGUUGUCGAGCGGCGCAUGUGAGUUUUGCAGAAGCAAAUGUCAGAGCCGUCACCUGUCACCGACAAAACAGAACGUUAUUGUGCCGGUUUAAACCCCGUUCCAGUGCAUCUGAAGAGAAGCGGCCUAUGGAAGAGCCUCACUGACAGGCCAUCGCGCCUGUUGUGAACGGACUCCCUCGGUGAAUGACAGACCGAUUUUCAUCAGGGUCCAGGAUGACCUUAAUUAAACUAGUCUGAUUACACAGCAAGCUGGAAAUAUAGACUGAGAGCCAGCAGAGCGGUUGUCUUUGUCCGUCAGAGAAUGGAGGACAUUCUGUCCGUGAUUGAGAACCCAGCAGCUCUCCGGGUUCCUAUCAGCGUGGAUCGUACUGGACCGGACCAGACCAGGACGGCCCGAGAAGACCCGGCUUGGCUGAGAGAGUCCCCAGCGCCAGACCAAGGUUGUGCCAAAGUGACGGCCCAUGGGCUUUCCAGGGCACUGGCUGCAGUGUGUGUGGUCACACUGCUAACUGGUGUAGCUGUGGGUCUCUGGUUUGUAGUGAAGGUCCUUGCGCAGCCCAUCCCAACACAAAGUGCGGCUGGACUAGGAGAGACAAAGGAGACGUCCUUCUGCAACGUGACAGAGGAGAUCUCUGUUGCAGACCACAGGAAAGGUCAGUGGGCUUUUCCUUUCUCAGCCACAAAAAGUGCUGCAUGCUGUGUUGCAACACCAAUCCUGAUCAAUUAACAGCACGUGAUGCUUUACUAUGCAUCCCAUAUGUAGGGUGGCACAGUGGCACAGCAGGUGGCAUUGGUGCUUCACUGCUCCUGAACUGUGGGUUUGAAUCAGGCUCUGUCUGUGCUGAGUUUACAUUUCACCCCUGUGUUCACAAGAGGUUUCCUUCAGGGGCUCUGAUUCCUUCCAUGGUCCAAAGACGUGUGUUUCAGGUCAACUGGUGAAACUAAACUGCCCGUAGUGUGUGUUUGUGAGUGUGCAUGAGUGUGUGAGGGAUUGCCCUGUUAUGGAGUGACAUCCUGUCCAGAGUGUAUGCCUGCCUCACACUUUAUGCUUUUAGGAUCAUUCUAGACCACCAUGAAGCUGCACAGACUAAGUGGUUAUUAAUAAUGGAUGCAUACAUACCCUAUACACUGGCCGUUGAACUUACAAACACACUUGGGACUAGAAGUCCAUUCAUAACUCAAUUUGUUUAUAAAUUCAAAGUCACUUUUACCACUAAGUCACAAUCGAUAAAAACUUAAUAAAAUGUCAUCCCUCAGUUUAUUU